AAUCAACGCUGGCGGCGUGCCUCAGACAUGCAAGUCGAACGCGAAAGGCCCCUUCGGGGGCCGAGUAGAGUGGCGCACGGGUGAGUAACACGUGGGUAAUUUGCCUUCGGGUGGGGAAUAACAGCCGGAAACGGCUGCUAAUACCGCAUAAUGCAGCGGCAUCUAUGAUGACAGUUGUUAAAGCGGGGGAUUCGCAAGAACCUCGCGCCUGAAGAGAAGCCCGCGGCGGAUUAGCUAGUUGGUAGGGUAAUGGCCUACCAAGGCGACGAUCCGUAGCCGGCCUGAGAGGGCGGUCGGCCACACUGACACUGACAUACGGGUCAGACUCCUACGGGAGGCAGCAGUCGGGAAUUUUGGGCAAUGGGCGC
rnacentral:rRNA from 1 species